rnacentral:rRNA from 1 species
CCUACGGGUGGCAGCAGUGAGGAAUAUUGGUCAAUGGCCGGAAGGCUGAACCAGCCAAGCCGCGUGAAGGACGAAGGUGCCAAGCAUUGUAAACUUCUUUUGUCAAGGGACAAAAUCAGGCUCGAGAGCCUGACCGAGGGUACUUGAAGAAAAAGCAUCGGCUAACUCCGUGCCAGCAGCCGCGGUAAUACGGAGGAUGCGAGCGUUAUCCGGAUUUAUUGGGUUUAAAGGGUGCGUAGGCGGGCAUUUAAGCCGGCGGUCAAAUGUCGGGGCUCAACCCCGGCCUGCCGUUGAAACUGGUUUUCUUGAGUGAGCGAGAAGUAUGCGGAAUGCGUGGUGUAGCGGUGAAAUGCAUAGAUAUCACGCAGAACUCCGAUUGCGAAGGCAGCAUACCGGCGCUCAACUGACGCUCAUGCACGAAAGUGUGGGUAUCGAACAGGAUUAGAUACCCCUGUAGUC